rnacentral:misc_RNA from 1 species
GGAAGGAUCAUUAUUGAAUAAACCUGAUGGGUUGUUGCUGGUUCUCCAGGGAGCAUGUGCACACCUUGUCAUCUUUAUAUCUCCACCUGUGCACUUUUUGUAGACCUGAAAAGGUCUAUGUUGCUUCAUUUUACCCCAAUGUAUGUUAAUAGAAUGUUGUACCUAUAUAAUAUAUACAACUUUCAGCAACGGAUCUCUUGGCUCUCGCAUCGAUGAAGAACGCAGCGAAAUGCGAUAAGUAAUGUGAAUUGCAGAAUUCAGUGAAUCAUCGAAUCUUUGAACGCACCUUGCGCUCCUUGGUAUUCCGAGGAGCAUGCCUGUUUGAGUGUCAUUAAUAUAUAUCAACCUUCUCUCUUGUAGUGAGUGGUUUGGAUGUGGGAGUUUGCUGGCCCUCUAUAUCUAGGGUUCAGCUCUCCUGAAAUGCAUUAGCAGAACAACCUGUUCAUUGGUGUGAUAACUAUCUGCGCCAUUGAAUGUGAGGGGCAGUUCAGCUUUCUAACAGUCCUUGGACAAU